GACGAACGCUGGCGGCGUGCCUAAUACAUGCAAGUCGAGCGAAGUUUUUCUGGUGCUUGCACUAGAAAAACUUAGCGGCGAACGGGUGAGUAACACGUAAAGAACCUGCCUCAUAGACUGGGACAACUAUUGGAAACGAUAGCUAAUACCGGAUAACAGCAUUAACUGCAUGGUUGAUGUUUGAAAGUUGGUUAUGCUAACACUAUGAGAUGGCUUUGCGGUGCAUUAGCUAGUUGGUGGGGUAAAGGCCCACCAAGGCGACGAUGCAUAGCCGACCUGAGAGGGUGAUCGGCCACACUGGGACUGAGACACGGCCCAGACUCCUACGGGAGGCAGCAGUAGGGAAUCUUCCGCAAUGGGCGAAAGCCUGACGGAGCAACGCCGCGUGAGUGAAGAAGGAUUUCGGUUCGUAAAGCUCUGUUGUUAGGGAAGAAUGGAUAUGUAGUAAC
rnacentral:rRNA from 1 species